GGCGCUGUGGUUCAAGUGGUGGAGCGCUAGCCUUGCAUGCCUGAGGCCCUGGGUUCGAUUCCUCAGCACCA
rnacentral:tRNA from 1 species